rnacentral:rRNA from 1 species
GUUUACGGCCACACCGCCUGGUUCACGCUUGAUCUCGGAAGCUAAGAUAGGUUGGGCCUGGUUAGUACUUGGACGGGAGACGGCCUGGGAAUACCAGGUGCUGUAAGCU